CUGUGAUGGUCUCCACGGCGACUCUAUUGCACUGUGCAUGUCCCUUGCAGUAGUCAACACACCUGUGAUGGUCUCCACGGCGACUCUAUUGUUGUGGGACCACGGUAGAGGCUGUAGGGGAGAUCCACUUGUCUCAGCACUGUCACUCUACCAGGAGAUCAGGCCAGAGAGGCUGAGACUGACCGACAAACUGACUGUGUGUGUGUGUGUGUGUGUGUGUGUGUGUGUGUGUGUGUGUCUGCAUGCAUGCGUGUGCGUGUGUGUGUGUGGCUCUGACUAAAGGGAAGAGAGAAAGCACGUGGUUCUGUCACUACCACUGGUUUUCCCCAUGGUGACCAAGUCUCUGUAGGUACUCUGUAGGUGCAGGGUGAAGGUGUGGGGGUGCCCAGUCUCUGUAGGUGAAGGUGUGGGGGUGCCCAGUCUCUGUAGGUUCAGGGUGAAGGUGUGGGGGUGCCCAGUCUCUGUAGGUUCAGGGUGAAGGUGUGGGGGUGCCCAGUCUCUGUAGGUGCAGGGUGAAGGUGUGGGGGUGCCCAGUCUCUGUAGGUGCAGGGUGAAGGUGUGGGGGUGCCCAGUCUCUGUAGGUGAAGGUGUGGGGGUGCCGAGGCCGGACUGCUUUUUCUGGAGCUUUCUCUUUGGCCUUACGCAGCCCCAAAGGAAGUGAGCAAUCCGAGCACACCAGGAUAGGAUACAGUCAAACAGGCAUGUGAUAAACGUACGUGUGUGUCUGCGUGUUGCAUUCGGCUGACGCAGCACACAAAACUGGGGUUACCGGAGUGUUACUGGGGUAAAAGCUGACAGCGGCGUUCUUGAGACGAACAUUUUCGUCCGAAUGGCCGGGUCAGUUGAACAAGCAGCAAUGUUUUUUUGUUGCCAUAUUCGCAAAGUGCAGGUUUCUUCCCCCAGUGAUUCAUCUGAUUGCACAAUGUCUUUUAAUGUCUGAAAAACAUUUUCCUGUGAAGGGCAGUGACAAGCCUCUUAGGAAUGCCUUCCUGUGAGUUGGCUACUGUGUGGUUAGAUGGCUUCUCCAUUAUUUGAGUAAUA
ensembl:lncRNA